rnacentral:misc_RNA from 1 species
GAUGAAGGACGUAGCGAAAUGCGAUACGUAAUGUGAAUUGCAGAAUUCAGUGAAUCAUCGAGUCUUUGAACGCACAUUGCGCCCCCUGGUAUUCCGGGGGGCAUGCCUGUCCGAGCGUCAUUGCUGCCCUCAAGCACGGCUUGUGUGUUGGGCCUCCGUCCUCCUCCCGGGGGACGGGCCCGAAAGGCAGCGGCGGCACCGCGUCCGGUCCUCGAGCGUAUGGGGCUUCGUCACCCGCUCUUGUAGGCCCGGCCGGCGCUUGCCGACACAUCAAUCUUUUUUCCAGGUUGACCUCGGAUCAGGUAGGGAUACCCGCCGAACUUAAGCAUAUCAAUAAGCGGAGGA